rnacentral:tRNA from 1 species
GUAGCUGAGGCUCAGUGGUAGAGCACUCGCCUCACAAGAGUGAGACUCUGUAUUCGAUCCUCAGCACCACA